UUGUUAGGGAAGAACAAGUACCGUUCGAAUAGGGCGGUACCUUGACGGUACCUAACCAGAAAGGCCACGGCUAACUACGUGCCAGCAGCCGCGGUAAUACGUAGGUGGCAAGCGUUGUCCGGAAUUAUUGGGCGUAAAGGGCUCGCAGGCGGUUUCUUAAGUCUGAUGUGAAAGCCCCCGGCUCAACCGGGGAGGGUCAUUGGAAACUGGGGAACUUGAGUGCAGAAGAGGAGAGUGGAAUUCCACGUGUAGCGGUGAAAUGCGUAGAGAUGUGGAGGAACACCAGUGGCGAAGGCGACUCUCUGGUCUGUAACUGACGCUGAGGAGCGAAAGCGUGGGGAGCGAACAGGAUUAGAUACCCUGGUAGUCCACGCCGUAAACGAUGAGUGCUAAGUGUUAGGGGGUUUCCGCCCCUUAGUGCUGCAGCUAACGCAUUAAGCACUCCGCCUGGGGAGUACGGUCGCAAGACUGAAACUCAAAGGAAUUGACGGGGGCCCGCACAAGCGGUGGAGCAUGUGGUUUAAUUCGAAGCAACGCGAAGAACCUUACCAGGUCUUGACAUCCUCUGACAAUCCUAGAGAUAGGACGUCCCCUUCGGGGGCAGAGUGACAGGUGGUGCAUGGUUGUCGUCAGCUCGUGUCGUGAGAUGUUGGGUUAAGUCCCGCAACGAGCGCAACCCUUGAUCUUAGUUGCCAGCAUUCAGUUGGGCACUCUAAGGUGACUGCCGGUGACAAACCGGAGGAAGGUGGGGAUGACGUCAAAUCAUCAUGCCCCUUAUGACCUGGGCUACACACGUGCUACAAUGGACAGAACAAAGGGCAGCGAAACCGCGAGGUUAAGCCAAUCCCACAAAUCUGUUCUCAGUUCGGAUCGCAGUCUGCAACUCGACUGCGUGAAGCUGGAAUCGCUAGUAAUCGCGGAUCAGCAUGCC
rnacentral:rRNA from 1 species